rnacentral:rRNA from 1 species
UAAUACGUAGGGUGCAAGCGUUGUCCGGAAUUAUUGGGCGUAAAGAGCUCGUAGGCGGUCUGUCACGUCGGACGUGAAAAUCCAGGGCUCAACCCUGGACCUGCGUUCGAUACGGGCAGACUAGAGUUCGGUAGGGGAGACUGGAAUUCCUGGUGUAGCGGUGAAAUGCGCAGAUAUCAGGAGGAACACCGGUGGCGAAGGCGGGUCUCUGGGCCGAAACUGACGCUGAGGAGCGAAAGCGUGGGGAGCAAACAGGAUUAGAUACCCUGGUAGUCCACGCCGUAAACGUUGGGCGCUAGGUGUGGGGAACCUUCCACGUUCUCCGUGCCGCAGCUAACGCAUUAAGCGCCCCGCCUGGGGAGUACGGCCGCAAGGCU